CCUACGGGAGGCAGCAGUGGGGAAUAUUGGGCAAUGGGCGCAAGCCUGACCCAGCAACGCCGCGUGAAGGAAGAAGGCUUUCGGGUUGUAAACUUCUUUUAUCAGGGACGAAGCAAGUGACGGUAGCUGAUGAAUAAGCCACGGCUAACUACGUGCCAGCAGCCGCGGGAAUACGGAGGUGGCAAGCGUGAUCCGGAGUUACUGGGUGUAAAGGGCGAGUAGGCGGGAGUGCAAGUCAGAUGUGAAAACUAUGGGCUAACCCCAUAGCCUGCCUUUGAAACGGUACUUCUUGAGUGCUGGAGAGGCGAUCGGAAUUCCGUGUGUAGCGGUGAAAUGCGUAGAUAUACGGAGGAACACCAGUGGCGAAGGCGGAUUGCUGGACAGUACCUGACGCUGAGGCGCGAACGCGUGUGGAGCAAACAGGAUUCGAUACCCCUGUAGUC
rnacentral:rRNA from 1 species